CGCUAUUACCAUAUUUCCGGGGCGGGAGAGCGGCCGGCUUUGUGUAGGGAAGGAUGCUGCCGGGUCCCUUUGGCAACUUCCUGGCUUCUCCGCCCCUCAGCGGCAUUGCACGUACCUCCUUCAGCUACUAUCUCUAGCUCUCCUCACACAAGAGCGGUGGAAAGGAUUAAUUUUCCUUCCCAAAUGUGGCGCUCAGUUUCUGUGGCCGCUAGGUGGCAGUAGUGUGCCGUGUCGCCUUUGGGAGGACCUCCGCCCCCGCCCUUCGUGCUUGAAAAAAGAGGCAGCAGCCGUCUUCUCGAAAAUGGGGCUUUCCGUUGCGCCUGCGCGAGGUAUUUUACCACCACGGGAGUGAGAAAAAAAGCAUCUUUCAUUGAAGGCGACUUGGCAUAGAGUUUGCUUUAAAUCAGUAAUUGCCCAAAUGGAUCCAAAUGAAAUGCAGGUAUCAAGUAGGCCUUGAAGGAACAGCAUUGUUCACAGAAAGAGAGCGAGUUGGAGACCAGUGCUUUCUCUUCUGUCCUGGAGCUGGGCUGUUGCCAGAGCUGAGUGACCCAGUGGGGAGCAGCAGAGGAGUGUUGCCAGACAAUGCACUCCCACACCCCCUCCAGCACACAGGCCCUUCUCCUCCCUCUCCCUGCUUGCUGGGAUCUCCCCUGAGGAUGGGAAUGUGCUCUGGCUAGCAGGGAAGGGAUAGAUGUGUGGUAGAGGAUGCAGGGAGACAGGUGGGAUCUUAGGAUGUCUGCAGAAGGGACUGGGGGAGGGACCAGAGUCCCACAGAAGGCACUCUGUACAGCACUGAGGUCCCAGGAGAUGAUGAAGGCUCUGAAAGUAGAGUGGCCCUAAAUGUGGUUCUGUGAUUUUUCUCCAGCACUGCACAGUGCUACACCAUUUUCGGAAGCUAAGCUUCCUGGCUCAGGCUCUGGAAAACCGGGCCUGUGUUGUCAGGGGAGAAAGAGCCUGGCAUCGCCCUGGAGGCAAUGACAGCCUUGAGAAGGCCCUGCUCCCCCCAGCGACAGCUCCACUCUGUGUGUGUCUGGUCUGCUCUUCCUCCUGUGCUCCGUGUUGGGGGUUCCCUAUGGGUUGAGAACCAUUGCCCUAGUUCAAGGAGAGGACAAGGCAAAGACGUCCCAAUCUCCUCUCUCGUCCCAAUCUCCUCUCUCGGGGACUGAUUGGAGGGUGGACAGAGAUAGAGGUGGUGGGGAUGGGGAGGUGAGAUCACGGGUGCCCUGGGGCUCCUCAGACCACAGGCCACGUUGCUUAAUUUAUUCUCUCUGGCUGUUGUGAUCUUCAUGCUUGUUCACUGUCCCACCGCAUAGAAAAGGAACAAGACACCCGCUGAAACCAUUUCUGAUCUGGCAAGUGUGCUCAGAUGCCAUCAAGUGAAUGGUCUAGUUGAUUAAAUGCUCGGUCUCUCAGA